rnacentral:lncRNA from 1 species
UUUAAACUUCAACUUCUUGCAUAUUAAAAUUAAAUGGAAUGGAAUUUAAAGUUGAUGAUAUUGGUUGAGGGCCAUACAUUUCCAUUUGAACACUUGUCACUUGGUCUUCAGAAUUAGAGGAUGACAAGUCAAAAUUCUACUAUGCUGGAUUGACAAUUCUUACGAUAGCAAUGUAUUAGGGCAAAACAUUUUGCCUUCAACGUUAUUUUCACUUAUCAGUUAGGUAGGAGCUGGUUUCCAAUUAGAGGAACAUUUGAGGUUAGAUAACCAUUAUCGUCUUCUAGUUAGUUCACAUGCGCUAUUGGAAAAUUUUGCUCAUUCAUCUGACCACAGAAUAUGCACCCAGGAUGAAAAAAAUGAAUGUGAAAGAUUGGCGUGCUAUUAAUGCAGUAGUGUAUUUUAUAGACAAAGGUGGAAAUCCAGUGUGGCAUAGGCAUAUUAAACCAAAAAUCAACAUGGUAAUCCUAACAAUUUUAAGCAAGUUAUGGAGGAGAAUAGAGAUCAUGACGUUUCAUUACCUCAGCUACACUCAGCUGUGACAAGGGAGAAAGGAGAAAAGGAUAUAAACAAGGACAUUUACUAGAAUUACUCCAAUGUCGACCCCCAAUCCUAC